UCGAACGAGAUUUUAUUAAUUGAUUACUUCGGUAUGAUUUUUCUAAAAUCCUUUGGCGGACGGGUGAGUAACACGUGGGUAACCUGCCCUCAAGUAGGGGAUAACAUUUGGAAACAGAUGCUAAUACCGUAUAAACCUCAGAAACACAUGUUUCUGAGUUGAAAGGCGGCUUUCGAGCUGUCGCUUUUGGAUGGACCCGCGGCGUAUUAGCUAGUUGGUGAGGUAAAGGCUCACCAGGGCAGUGAUACGUAGCCGACCUGAGAGGGUGAUCGGCCACAUUGGGACUGAGACACGGCCCAAACUCCUACGGGAGGCAGCAGUAGGGAAUCUUCCACAAUGGACGAAAGUCUGAUGGAGCAACGCCGCGUGAGUGAAGAAGGUUUUCGGAUCGUAAAACUCUGUUGUUGGAGAAGAACACGUUUGAGAGUAACUGUUCAGACGUUGACGGUAUCCAACCAGAAAGCCACGGCUAACUACGUGCCAGCAGCCGCGGUAAUACGUAGGUGGCAAGCGUUAUCCGGAUUUAUUGGGCGUAAAGCGAGCGCAGGCGGUUUCUUAAGUCUGAUGUGAAAGCCUUCGGCUUAACCGAAGAAGUGCAUCGGAAACUGGGAAACUUGAGUGCAGAAGAGGACAGUGGAACUCCAUGUGUAGCGGUGAAAUGCGUAGAUAUAUGGAAGAACACCAGUGGCGAAGGCGGCUGUCUGGUCUGUAACUGACGCUGAGGCUCGAAAGCAUGGGUAGCGAACAGGAUUAGAUACCCUGGUAGUCCAUGCCGUAAACGAUGAAUGCUAGGUGUUGGAGGGUUUCCGCCCU
rnacentral:rRNA from 1 species